CGCCUGUUUAUUAAAAACAUGUUUUUUAAAAUUAAUUAAAAAUUUAACCUGCCCAAUGAAAUUUAUAAAUUAAAAGGCCGCAGUAUUUUGACUGUGCUAAGGUAGCAUAAUCAAUAGAUUUUUAAUUGAAAUCUGGAAUGAAUGGUUGAAUGAAAUAUAAACUUUUUUAUUUAUAAUAAUUGAAUUUUAUAAAUUAGUUAAAAUGCUAAUGUUAAUAAAAGGGACGAGAAGACCCUAUAGAAUUUAAAUAAUUAAAUAUUUUUUAAAAAAUAUUAAUUUAUUUAAUUGGGGAGAUUGUUAAAAUUAAAAAACUUUAAUUUAUUAAAUCAAUAAUUAUUGUUUAUUUGAUCUUUUUUUAUGGAUUAUUAAAAUAAAUUACCUUAGGGAUAACAGCAUAAUGAUUUUAAAAAGUUCUUAUUUUUAAAAUAGUUUAUGACCUCGAUGUUGGAUUAAAAUUAUUGUUAUAUGAAGAUAUAUAAUAAAUAAGUCUGUUCGACU
rnacentral:rRNA from 1 species